rnacentral:rRNA from 1 species
UACAGAGGGGGCAAGCGUUAUUCGGAAUUAUUGGGCGUAAAGGGCGCGUAGGCGGCUUGGCAAGUGGAUGGUGAAAUCCCUCGGCUUAACCGAGGAACUGCCAUCCAGACUGCUUUGCUUGAGGCCGGGAGAGGUGAGUGGAAUUCCCAGUGUAGCGGUGAAAUGCGUAGAUAUCGAGAGGAACACCUGCGGCGAAGGCGGGUUGCUGGGCUGAUACUGACGUGAGGCGCGAAAGCUAGGGGAGCGAACGGG